UACUAAAUAUUAUAAUGAAUAAUUAAUCGACCUUGAAUAGUCAUUCAACUCAAAGAUCAUCAGCGAAUCAAUUUCCAAUGAUUGCAGAGUGAAUCCCACAAUUCCUCGAAAUUCAUCCCCUACUUGAAGAUCUCCUGUCGAACACCUAGUUGAGAGUAAAAAACAACUGGCGUUUGUUUAGAACCAUCUCCCGUGCGACGGGAGGAAGAUCAUCGCCAUUGACAGUUUAACGUCAAAAUUAAGGAGGAUGCUGUCUCUCGAUAACAACCGGAUGCACCAGGAGAACGUGAGUAUCCACGAGGAAAUACCCAACGAUGACUCGUCUGAGGAACCCUCAAGGAUCUCGUCCUUGGCGCAACCCAAGGAAUGGACGUACACUAUGAGGAGGAGCAUGCAGGAGGUGAUCCCUGGGCUCUACCUAGGUCCCUACAGUGCAGCAAGUCGUUCAAAGCUCCCUGAACUGCAGGAGCUAGGAAUCACCCACAUCGUGUGCGUCAGACAGGACAUCGAGGCGCACUUCAUAAAGCCAAACUUCCCUGACCAAUUCAAAUAUCUAGUACUGAAUAUUGCGGACGUGGCGACAGAGAACAUAAUCCAGCACUUUCCCACGGUCAAAAAGUUCAUAGAUGAAGGAUUAAAUUCCCAGGGACACGUUUUGGUUCAUGGUAACGCCGGAAUCUCUAGGUCAGCAGCUCUGGUCCUUGCAUACGUAAUGCAGUUGUACGGACUUUCCCACACACGAGCAUACGCACUGGUCCAACAACGAAGAUUCUGCAUAAAUCCAAACGACGGUUUCAUGGCACAACUGAGGGAGUACGAGCCGAUUUAUCAGGCCCAGAAGUCAACAAGUAACGACCAGAGUACAACAAGACAAUGCACAAAACGAUCGCUUUAUCAAAUGGUCAGCGGACGGUUAGACGACAGGCCAGACGCCAUGGAAAGUUGAUGAUGGGGAUUUUGAGGACAUUCAAGAGAUGAAACGGAUCUGAAAUUCGCAGUGAAGUGGUGAAAUAAUUCGAGUGCAUCGUCAUAUAUUUUUUCACUUUAGGAAAAAAUGACGAAAGGCCUUUCUCCCGAGCGAAUUUUUUUUUGUUGAAAUCACUCAUUACUGAGAAAUGCUCAUUAGUUGUAAUAUUAUUAUUGCCGUAUUGCUGUAUUCGUCCCAGGAUUUUCGAGUGGAAAAGAUCACAAAAAUAACAGUGAUGACGAGGAUCAAGUGGAUCACAGAUAAUUGCCACAGUGUUGUUCAAAUUAACUAUCUAAUUAAAUAUAAAAUAUAUCGUAGGCGCCUCGUGCAUUAAAAGUGAUAACUCUAACUUAUGAUAAACGAAAAUUUGAUUAAUGAUUUCAUUUUCUACUAGCGUUUGUUAAUUAAUAAAGUGUUACGGAAGUUCGGAAAAUAAAG